AACAAAACUUACAUGGAUAAAAGAUUGAUAUAACAAAAAGGUAUGUGACAUAUAAAGAAGUAAAGCAAGCUUAAUUUGGACGACGAGAUCGACAGAUAUGAAGUCUUACUUCUAAAACAAAGAUGGAAUCAAGAGAAAGCAGAAAUCUUUUUUACAUCAGAAGAGUAAUUAAUGUGGUACAAACGGAACUUGCUCAAUUUUUCAUCAAAGAAUGGAACUCUCGUUACACAUCAACACAUGGAGAAUGGGAUGAUACCAAAAAAAGUGGCAAAAAAUUUUACAAAUUAGAAUCGGGUAGGAAGUUGGAUAAAAACCUACAGUUAAAAUAUCAGGAGGGAGACACAAGUAAAUGGGACUGCACAACAUUAUUCGAUGCCAUACUUUAUUCAAAAUCGAUUAGCGGACAUCUUGAUAAAAAAACAAAGAAUGCUGUUGAUGCACUUCGUGUUGAAAGAAACAAAGAAGCACAUUGGCAUGAAAGCGAAUACUCAGAUGAUGAUUUUGAUGAUAGAGUCAAUAUCAUUGAAAAAUCAUUUCAAGAUUUGAAAUUUUCCCUCGAUGAAAUCAAUAAAAUAAAAAAUCAUCGUAACAGUUUUAAUUCGUUCCAAGUGCUUCCUUCAAAACCCAAUCAUUUUUGUUGAACGCACUGAAUUACAAGAUAAAAUCAUAAACGAUCUUGAAAAAUUAAGGAAUGAUAACAAUAACGAACUGACAUAUUUCUACAUCACUGGUAAUCCUGGCAGUGGUAAAUCUCAACUGGCGAGACAGGUUUGU